UACGUAGGUGGCAAGCGUUGUCCGGAUUUACUGGGCGUAAAGAGCGCGCAGGCGGUCGUUCAAGUCGCGUGUGAAAGCCCCCGGCUCAACUGGGGAGGGUCACGCGAUACUGAUCGACUCGAAGGCAGGCGAGGGAAGUGGAAUUCCCGGUGUAGUGGUGAAAUGCGUAGAUAUCGGGAGGAACACCAGUGGCGAAGGCGACUUCCUGGCCUGUUCUUGACGCUGAGGCGCGAAAGCUAGGGGAGCAAACAGG
rnacentral:rRNA from 1 species